UACGUAGGGGGCAAGCGUUGUCCGGAUUCAUUGGGCGUAAAGAGCGUGUAGGCGGCCAGGUAGGUCGGUUGUGAAAACUGGAGGCUCAACCUUCAGAGGUCGACCGAAACCAUCUGGCUAGAGUCCGGGAGAGGAGAGUGGAAUUCCUGGUGUAGCGGUGAAAUGCGCAGAUAUCAGGAGGAACACCGGUGGCGAAGGCGGCCCUCUGGACGGUGACUGACGCUGAGACGCGAAAGCGUGGGGAGCAAACAGG
rnacentral:rRNA from 1 species